GACGAACGCUGGCGGCGUGCUUAACACAUGCAAGUCGAACGGAAAGGCCCUGCUUUUGUGGGGUGCUCGAGUGGCGAACGGGUGAGUAACACGUGAGUAACCUGCCCUUGACUUUGGGAUAACUUCAGGAAACUGGGGCUAAUACCGGAUAGGAGCUCCUGCUGCAUGGUGGGGGUUGGAAAGUUUCGGCGGUGGGGGAUGGACUCGCGGCUUAUCAGCUUGUUGGUGGGGUAGUGGCUUACCAAGGCUUUGACGGGUAGCCGGCCUGAGAGGGUUACCGGCCACAUUGGGACUGAGAUACGACCCAGACUCCUACGGGAGGCAGCAGUGGGGAAUAUUGCACAAUAGGCGGAAGCCUGAUGCAGCAACGCCGCGUGCGGGAUGACGGCCUUCGGGUUGUAAACCGCUUUCGCCUGUGACGAAGCGUGAGUGACGGUAAUGGGUAAAGAAGCACCGGCUAACUACGUG
rnacentral:rRNA from 1 species